CUUUACUUAACUCCAGCUGCAGAAAUAUUUUUUCAAUAAAGUUUAGUAAAUAAUCCGAAGUGAGUUCACGGUUCGUCAGUAUUCGGUAAUUUUUAUACGAAUUGUUACUUUUCGUUUUUUUUGAAUGACUCUCGUUCGGUAGUUUUCUCGCGAAUAGCGGCCAUUCGUUUUUUGCAUUAGCUUAUUAUACUCGCGUUUGAACAGUGAAAUACAAGUUCGUACGCAGUUUAAUUCAACAGUUUUUCAUGCGAACCACUGUAUGCGCAAUUUCAAUUAGUCCCUCAUAGAUUGGUGACAGUAUUAUGGGUGGGAAUUCCAGUUAAUUGGUUUUUAGCUAACUUUCCUGCCCACUUUACCUCAGCAUUGCGUUUCUCCACAACUUUGUUGCUCUUUGUUGGUAAUUAUUAUAAGUUUGAAAUUAUAUGAUUUUACCUAAUCUUUUGCAACAUUAUUUUACUAUAGUAAUUACAAUUUGUUGCAAUACUAAAUUAUGAAUUCUACAGAAAUUAGACAAACUCCUUCUUAGUCACCAAAACCUGGUGCUACUCAUGACUGUGAAAUAAUCACUGAGGGUUCUUUACAAAAUAUUGUAGACUUCUCCGUUCACAAAUCAAUUUCAUCUGCAAUGUCUUUCAUGCAAGAAACAAAUGCAAAGUCUGUGGCUCAGGCCAUAAGCAAUUCAAAACCUAGUGAUAAGACUCAAUUAAUACUCCUUCAGACCAGUUCUGGUCACCUGUAGAGUCAGAACGGAAUUUAGCUCAAGGAUUCAGGAGGUCUGGGAAGGCCACCCAGAAACGCAAGCACUGUUUUGACGGUCUUUUAGAAUCCCCUGGCUGUUAAGUCAAAUAAGAUGGGGAAAGACCAAGAUCAGAACAAAAUGCGUGUCUCACGCAAAACUGAAGAGUGCAAUCAAUUACUCAAAAAGCCCUCUGCUCGUGAGGAAGAUAGACUAGCUCGGAAGGCCAUUCACAGGAGCAAAUGUGACUACUAUAAAACCUCCUCAAAUGAUGACAUCUUCAAACUCAGAAGAGGAGAAAUCUGAAUCUGCCCCAAAUUAUUCACCUGUUUCAGAGGCACCUGAGCUUCUCGCUAAAUUCGCUCUAUGCAGCUUUGCAAAACCAAAAUCCCAUUGUUGUAUUGUUCUCAAGAUGGACAACAUAAUACAAUACAUAAAUCACUUGGGAGGUACAUAAUCCAAGUGACUGGCACUUUUGCUUCGAUCGAAACAUAGUUUUACAAGCAGAAUAUCUUCCCAGCCUUUCCAAAACAGUAGAAGAUUGGAAGUCACGUUUCCUAGUGGAUUACAGAGACUGGAUGUUGGAUCCCAACAUCUUAAAACAACUACUUUCCCUGUGGGAUCCAUUUCAAUACGAUCUUUCCAUCACGACUCAAUCGCCAAUUAGAAACAUUUUUCAGUUGGCUUCCGGAUCCAGAGGCAGCAGAUCGGGAUGCAUUCCUCCAAUCCUGGAAAGACUGUCAAUUAUGCAUUUCCCCCAUUUGCAAUGAUAUCCCGGGGUACUUCUGAAAGCAUGGUCUCAGAAAUCAACCCUACUGGUAAUAACCCCUCUCUGGCCAUCACAACCAUGGUUCCCUUAGCUUCUCAGCAUGCUGAUAGACUACCCACGACUCAUACAGAUGCAUCGGGAUGCUCUUCGCGAGCCCGAGGGAAAUCUUCAUCCUCUAGUACGAUAAGGCCAACUACCUUUUAAUAGCAUCUCAUCUCGGGUUAUACUAAUCUUGUAGUGACUAGAGACUUUCUCUCAGAAGCAUGGGCACCAGGUACCCGUGCAAAUUACAGAUCAGCCUGGAAAACUUGGCUUAAUUGGUGCAAGGAACGGGCUGUGGAUCCUGUACAUUCAGAUUUAGCAAACAUUCUAAAUUUUGUCAGCAUCAUUUGACUCAAGCAAGGCUUAUCGCACCAUUAAUGUCUAUCGAUCAGCUAUCUCAGCAAAUCACGACCCUAUUGAAUGUUUCCCUGAGGGCAAACAUCCCUUAUUCUGCAGACCUAUGAAGGGUAUCAGAUUCACGCGUCCUCAAUACAAUUCUACUUGGGAUGUUACACUGGUAAUAGAAGCGUGGGGUGACAAUGAUUCGUUAUCCUUAAAAUUUAUUUCGUUUAGGCUUACUAUGCCUCAUUUCAUAUGAGUUUCUGACGUUAAGGCUUUAGACUUAAAUAAUAGACAAUACACUCCUGGUGGUGGUAAUUUUUCUUUGUUAGACAUACCAAAACUAAUCUCUGCUCUGUGUUCCAUCCUUCUUUUUCUGACCAUCCUCUUGCUUAUCUCUUUUUUCGUAAACCUUUUCUGCCUGUCUCCUCUAAAUCUUUAGCAAGAUGGGAAAGACAAACUAUGUCUAUGGUAGGUAGAUAUUUCAGUGUUUGGAGUUCACUCUUCAAGAGGAGCUAUGACCACUAAAGUGUUUAAAGCAGGAGGCUAUUUAUCAGACCUGUUAAACUGCAGAUUGGUCUUCCGAAUCUACAUUUAAACAGUUAUUUUAGACCUAGCAUUCAUGUUUCAAAUAUAAUAUUGUAAUAUCUUAACAGUGUAUUUGAGAUAUUUCUAUGGUUAUUCAGCUUUCAACAUGCAUAAUACGAGCCUCCUGUCUUGCUCUAAAAUUAAGGAUUUUCCUAGUCUUGACGUCAGAAAAUAU